rnacentral:lncRNA from 1 species
CUGGGAUCGGAGCUGCGGCCCUCACCGGGCAGCCUGAGUCCCAUAGGGCGGGACAGCAGGGCGGGGGCUGUGGCACCAGCCGAGCUCCCGACCCUGCGCCACUUGAGACCCCAGAUUUCCUCUGGCAUGUAAGCCAAGUGGUCAUUUGGAUUCUGGAGGAGAGCCAGGCUCCAGAGAGAGACAAGGAGAUGAGGAGACAAGCAGACGAACAGCGGAACAAUGCAGCAGAGAAAGAGAGAAGAGAAGGAACGUCUGAACGUCGAGAGGAGUUCGGCUGCUGGACGGCCAAACUCCAGGGGAAGAUCAUCUUCCCACUCCAUUCCCCCUCCAGCUCCCCAUCCAUCCCACUGAGAGCCACUUCCACCACUCAAUAAAAGCCCCACAUUUAUCCUUCAAGUCCAUGUGUGAUCCAAUUCUUCUGGGAUGCUAAACAAGAACCUGGGAUACAGAAAGCUGUCACACUGGCCCUCUGCCCUUGCAGAAAGGCAGAGGGGCCCUGAGCUGGUUGAUACUUAAGCUGUCUGUGGAUGGCAGAACUAAAAGAGCAUUGG